rnacentral:lncRNA from 1 species
AACUUUAUUAUCUCAUUAAUUAAUUUAUUUUGGUAGUUAAAGUUAGAUAGGGAGAUGUCUAAUCAACUUCUUAUUCAGACAGUUUAGAGGCUUUCAUACUACGACAUAUUUCAGACAGUUUAUUUCAGUUUUUAGUAUUGUUAUACCCCCAUUAUAGACAUUGUUUUAUAUUCAGUGUUAGUUCACUUUUGAACCUUAUGGCCU